rnacentral:rRNA from 1 species
UACGGAGGGGACUAGCGUUGUUCGGAAUUACUGGGCGUAAAGCGCGUGUAGGCGGCUAUGUAAGUCGGGCGUGAAAUCCCACGGCUCAACCGUGGAAGUGCACCCGAAACUGCGUAGCUAGAGUCCUGGAGAGGAAGGUGGAAUGCUUGGUGUAGAGGUGAAAUUCGUAGAUAUCAAGCGGAACACCGGUGGCGAAGGCGGCCUUCUGGACAGUGACUGACGCUGAGACGCGAAAGCGUGGGGAGCAAACAGG